AUUGAACGCUGGCGGCAGGCCUAACACAUGCAGGUCGAGCGGAUGAAGGGAGCUUGCUCCUGGAUCCAGCGGCGGACGGGUGAGUAAUGCCUAGGAAUCUGCCUGGUAGUGGGGGAUAACGUCCGGAAACGGGCGCUAAUACCGCAUACGUCCUGAGGGAGAAAGUGGGGGAUCUUCGGACCUCACGCUAUCAGACGAGCCUAGGUCGGAUUAGCUAGUUGGUGGGGUAAAGGCCUACCAAGGCGACGAUCCGUAACUGGUCUGAGAGGAUGAUCAGUCACACUGGAACUGAGACACGGUCCAGACUCCUACGGGAGGCAGCAGUGGGGAAUAUUGGACAAUGGGCGAAAGCCUGAUCCAGCCAUGCCGCGUGUGUGAAGAAGGUCUUCGGAUUGUAAAGCACUUUAAGUUGGGAGGAAGGGCAGUAAGUUAAUACCUUGCUGUUUUGACGUUACCAACAGAAUAAGCACCGGCUAACUUCGUG
rnacentral:rRNA from 1 species